AUUGAACGCUGGCGGCAGGCCUAACACAUGCAAGUCGAGCGGAGCGGCGGACGGGUGAGUAAUGCCUAGGUAUCUGCCUGGUAGUGGGGGAUAACGUCCGGAAACGGGCGCUAAUACUGCAUACUAUCAGAUGAGCCUCGGUCGGAUGAGCUAGUGGGUGGGGUAAAGGCCUACCAAGGCGACGAUCCGUAACUGGUCUGCGAGGAUGAUCAGUCACACUGGGACUGUGACGCGGUCUAGACUCCUACGGGAGGAAGCAGUGGGGAAUAUUGGACAAUGGGCGAAAGCCUGAUGCAGCCAGGCCGCGUGUCUGAAGAAGGUCUUCGGAUUGUAAAGCACUUUAAGUUGGGAGGCGUUACCGACAGAAUAAGCACCGGCUAACUGCGUGCCAUCCGCCGCGGUAAUUC
rnacentral:rRNA from 1 species